UCCCUGGUAGUUCAGAUGGUAAAGAAUGUGCCUGCGAAGCAGGAGACCCAGGUUCAAUCCCUGGGUGGGGAA
rnacentral:tRNA from 1 species